rnacentral:rRNA from 1 species
AGUGAACGCUGGCGGUAGGCCUAACACAUGCAAGUCGAACGGCAGCACAGUAAGAGCUUGCUCUUACGGGUGGCGAGUGGCGGACGUGUGAGGAAUACAUCGGAAUCUACUUUUUCGUGGGGGAUAACGUAGGGAAACUUACGCUAAUACCGCAUACGACCUACGGGUGAAAGCAGGGGAUCUUCGGACCUUGCGCGAUUGAAUGAGCCGAUGUCGGAUUAGCUAGUUGGCGGGGUAAAGGCCCACCAAGGCGACGAUCCGUAGCUGGUCUGAGAGGAUGAUCAGCCACACUGGAACUGAGACACGGUCCAGACUCCUACGGGACGCAGCAGUGGGGAAUAUUGGACAAUGGGCGCAAGCCUGAUCCAGCCGUACCGCGUGGGUGAAGACGGCCUUCGGGUUGUAAAGCCCUUUUGUUGGGAGAGAAAAGCAGCAGGUUAAUACCCCGCUAUUCUGACGGUACCCAAAGAAUAAGCACCGGCUAACUUCGUG